UUUCAGACAUCUCUAGGACAUCCAGUUUGAAAUGUCUGAUAAACAACUGUUGAUGUGGAAUUGAAGUUCAGGGAAGAUACUGAAAAUGGAUUUGUAAACGUGGAAGUUAUCAGCAUCGAAAUGGAUUUUUAAACGCAUAGGAACUGAUGAGGUCACCAAGGGAACAUAAAGGAAGAGGAAAAGGAGACUAGGUUAGAACCUUGGAGAACACCCACAGUUAAACUGUUCUUCCUAUUAAAGCCUGUUGGUUCAAGAUAAGGAAAACCACAAUCAUCACGGGGGACAGAGGAAGUGUUUAAAUUUAAUGAGCUAUCUCCAUUUUCCCAUCUGAACUAUAGAAAAACAUAGAUUUCAUCUUGGUCAUUUCUGCAAAUUAUACCCUUUUACCUUAAAUCUAUGUUUCUGCAGUACAAAAUGGGCAUAUGGGCUAGACAGGAGGAAUACAAAUUCUACCUUGUUCAGAGGCAACAAGGGCUAAGAUUAUCUUUUAUAUACUGUAACAGAAUUCAUUAAUGGGACAAAGGAACUAAAAAGGAAUUGCCAAAGAAAGUUAAGCUACUCUCAUAAAACUACUUUGUCUCAUUACAGAUAGGAAAGGGCCUAGCACAGUUUCUAUGUGUACCUAUGUUGUUUCUAAAAGAAGGAAAAGAGGCAAAACAGACAUUUCUUAAACAUUUAAAAUUGUUAAACUGAACUAAAUUGAAGUUGUUUAUCAAUGAUCAAAAAGUGAAACGGAUUAGAAAAGGGAGAGAUAUUUAAAAAACUAUUGCUAAAGAGAUUUCUAGGGAAGUAAAACUGAUGACUUUAAAUACUUGUUAGACUUCUACAAAUCCUUGAAAUUUAUGUAUACUACGGUGUGGUUUUAUUUUCUCAAGACAAACUUGAAGGGGGCAGCUAGGGGGCUCUGUGGAUGGAGAGCCAGGCCUGGAGAUGGGAGGUCCUUGAUUCAAAUCUGACCAGAGACACUUCCUAGCUGUGUGAACAUGGACAAGUCACUUAACCCCAACUGUCUAGUCCUUACCACUCUUUUGUCUUGGAAUUAAUACUUAGUAUUGAUUCUAAGACAGAAAGUAAGAGUUAUUUUAAAAAUUAAGGGGGGGGGGAGGGGAAAAGAGACUCUUGAAGAUUUGUGUAAGAGAAGGAAGUCAUGAUUAAUUUUAUUUUAGAGACUGGACCAAUAAUGAGACUACUGAAUAUCUCUUGCAAGGAAAUAAUAAUAAUCACUUCUACAUCUUCUAAAAGCUUCAGGUCCCUCAUCUAUCCAAGUGAGGAUAAUGAAAACUACAGCACCUGUAUCACAAGGUAUGUGGUGAGGAUCAAAGGAAAGGGUGUAUUAAGCACUUUAUAGGCUUUAAAGCACUAUAUAUUUAUGAACUAUUAUUACCAGCAAGACCUAGGAUCCUAGAUUUCACCCUGGAAGAGACUUUGGAGGUUAUCAAGGCCAACCCUUCAUUUUACAGAUGAGAAAACUCUGGCCAAGGAGAUGAAGAGACAGCCUGUCUGCAUGUAAGGCAGAAUUCAAAUCUUAGUCUUUUUGAUUUCAAGUCCAACCUUCUAAAUAGUGACAACAACCUGCAGUGUCCAUCCUUCUUUGUCCUAAUAUAAAAACUACAUUCUGCUAACUCA